UAUUUAAAUUAAUCAUCUAACAUCAUAUUAAAUAAAACAUUUAAACAUUUAUUCCUACUAACUUACUAAAUCAAAGUACUAAAAAGGAAACAACAAUAACCUAAAGUAGUGAUAGCUCACGUACCUUGUGCAUUAUGGUUUUACAAGCUAUAAAUUUAUAAUAUCCUCCCGAAUUCUACACGAGCUGUCUACAUAUAGCUUAGAGCCCACUACUAGUUGUAGCAACAACUUUAGAAAAUAUGUUAACAGAGGCUACAUACCACCCGCGUUAGAAAAUUGCUGGUUUUCAGUAAAAUUUAUUAAUUAAAACAUGUAGUAACAACUACAAUGUAAGACUUCAGAGGAUAAGCCCUGUAGUCUAAAGCUAAUAAACACACCACUAAAUAAUUAGGCCUAAAAACAGCCACCUACAUUACCUUACCGUAACACUUAUAAAAUAUUUGAAACUAUAUGCACCCAAAAACUGAAAUUUAAAACAAACUUCAAAUAUUAAAAUAUUAUGUAAAAAUAAGUAUUAAGCACAAAUAAUUACUAUACUAAACCUUUUUCUCAAUAAAUUAAACAAAAACUUAUAAAGGAACUCAGCAAUUCUUAUUU
rnacentral:rRNA from 1 species